AAACUUUACAAUGCGAGCAAUCGUGAUAAGGAAACCCUGAGUGCCUGUCGAUGCAGGCUGUUCAUAUAUCUAAAUCAUAUGUGAAGAAAGGGCAGGGCAAGACCGGUGCCAGCCGCCGCGGUAAUACCGGCUGCUCGAGUGAUGGCCACUAUUACUGGGUUUAAAGCGUCCGUAGCUUGACUGUUAGGUCUCUUGGGAAAUCUUCGCGCUCAACGUGAAGGCGUCUAAGAGAUACCGGCAGUCUUGGAACUGGGAGAGGUAAACCGUACUUCGGGGGUAGGAGUGAAAUCUUGUAAUCCUCGAGGGACGACCUAUGGCGAAGGCAGUUUACCAGAACAGCUUCGACAGUGAGGGACGAAAGCUGGGGGAGCAAACGGGAUUAGAUACCCCGGUAGUCCCAGCCGUAAACAAUGUGCGUUAGGUGUGUCGGUAACCACGUGUUACUGAUGCGCCGAAGAGAAAUCGUGAAACGCACCACCUGGGAAGUACGGUCGCAAGGCUGAAACUUAAAGGAAUUGGCGGGGGAGCACCACAACAGGUGGAGCCUGCGGUUUAAUUGG
rnacentral:rRNA from 1 species